rnacentral:rRNA from 1 species
CCUACGGGCGGCAGCAGUGAGGAAUAUUGGUCAAUGGGCGCGAGCCUGAACCAGCCAAGUAGCGUGAAGGAUGACUGCCCUACGGGUUGUAAACUGCUGUUAUAAAGGAAUAAAGUGAGGCACGUGGGCCGUUUUGUAUGUACGUUAUGAAUAAGGAUCGGCUAACUCCGUGCCAGCAGCCGCGGUAAUACGGAGGAUCCGAGCGUUAUCCGGAUUUAUUGGGUUGAACGGGAGCGUAGAGGGGUUGUUAAGUCAGUUGUGAAAGUUUGCGGCUCAACCGUAAAAUUGCAAUUGAUACUGGCAGCCUUGCUUACAGUUUCGGUAGGCCGCUUUCGUGGUGUAGCUG